rnacentral:rRNA from 1 species
UACGGAGGUGGCAAGCGUUGCUCGGAAUCACUGGGCGUAAAGGGCGCGUAGGCGGGGAGGUAAGUCGGGUGUGAAAUCCCUCGGCCCAACCGAGGAACUGCGCCCGAGACUGUUUCUCUUGAGUCCCGGAGAGGAAGGUGGAAUUCCCGGUGUAGCGGUGAAAUGUGUAGAGAUCGGGAGGAACACCGGUGGCGAAGGCGGCCUUCUGGACGGUGACUGACGCUGAGGCGCGAAAGCGUGGGGAGCAAACGGG